rnacentral:rRNA from 1 species
GAGUCGUAACAAGGUCUCCGUUGGUGAACCAGCGGAGGGAUCAUUA